rnacentral:miRNA from 1 species
AGAAGAAGGCGGUCGGUCUGCGG